rnacentral:rRNA from 1 species
CUACGCACUCCUACGGGAGGCAGCAGUGGGGAAUAUUGCACAAUGGGUCGCAAGCCUGAUGCAGCCAUGCCGCGUGUAUGAAGAAGGCCUUCGGGUUGUAAAGUACUUUCAGCAGUGAGGAAGGUGGGUAUGUUAAUAGCAUACUCAUUUGACGUUUAGCUGCAGAAGAAGCACCGGCUAACUCCGUGCCAGCAGCCGCGGUAAUACGGAGGGUGCGAGCGUUAAUCGGAAUUACUGGGCGUAAAGCGCAUGCAGGUGGUUUGUUAAGUCAGAUGUGAAAGCCCGGGGCUCAACCUCGGAAUUGCAUUUGAAACUGGCAAACUAGAGUACUGUAGAGGGGGUAGAAUUUCAGGUGUAGCGGUGAAAUGCGUAGAGAUCUGAAGGAAUACCGGUGGCGAAGGCGGCCCCCUGGACAGAUACUGACACUCAGAUGCGAAAGCGUGGGGAGCAAACAGGAUUAGAUACCCUGGUAG